ACCACCAGUGUUAUCAUUAAGUCUCACCUUCAUGACAUCAUCCAGUUAUGUCCAAAGGCCUCAUUUCUAAAAGCCAGGAUGAUCGGAAGAUUAUUUCCAACCUAGAACAUUGGAGAAAACGCAUUCAAACCAUGACAAGGGAUAAAUGGAGAGUGACCAGCACAUAGAUGACCCUGAAGGCAAGACUCAGUCGGGAGACUGCAAGUAAUCCAUUAAGUGGCCACCAUGGACAUGAGCUUGAGAAGGGAGGUAAGAAUCCGUCAGAGACUAGGCACUGAAGAUAGAUGGUGUAAAAGUUCUGUUCUCUGCUCCACAUAAGUGUGGAUGACAAAAAGCAAGAGAAAGAAUGAUGUGCAGGCCACAGUGAUGGCCACUGGAAGAAUCGUUUGCAUCUACAGCUCUGAGACGGUGCUAUCCGGGCUGGUGCCGUGUAGGACAAAUUGUGCAAGCGAACGCGGAGGCCUUGCCAACUCAUUAGCUACAUUUUGAGAGCAUUUCGGUGACAGGACAAAGAUGAAGAAUGGUCUACGUAGAUUUGCUGAUUAAUAUUCUUCACAAGUACACUUAAUGAAGAAAGAAGCCAUCGAAAAACCUGGCACGUCCUUGCCAUCAUUAACAAAUCUAGAGGGCAGAGCACCAGAAGGCUCUAUAACCUCAGUGUUAUGAAUUCUACUGAAAGAACACACUGCCUAGUUUGUUUUCCCGGACUUAAAUAAGGGGAAGUUGAGCACUCAUCCUCCAAACCAUGACUGUCUAGAAAAUAAGGGUUAUUCUCCGCCUGAAUAUCCCCAACAGAAUUAUUAGUGAUGAUGUUCGAUCUUAACUUUCAACUUGAUGGACCCUAGGCUCACCGAGGUGACCAGCCUCUGGGCAGGCCUAGGAGAGAUUUCCAGAUUAUGUAAGCAGAGUUUGUAGAUAAGGAAAUGAAGGCUCAAAAGACAUUAAGGAAUGCAGCAAGAUCACGGAACAAGGAAAUGACAGAGCUAGGAUGAGAGAGCAGCUGUCAAUUUUCAAGAGGAGGAAAGUGGAGUUAUUUGAUUCUUUAUUGAG